ACGCUUGGCAACCUCUUUGGACAAGAAGGCCCGCGAUGCUGUCAGGGCAUCGUGGUACUGGUCCGGGAACAUCGCCUCCGGAGCCAGACGAAAUGACGACAGCAUCCAACUCUUCCGCCAUCUUCCGGCACAAGAAGUCGUAUGAUCGCAUCCCUGUGAUGGGGGAUGGGUCAUGUGAUGUCAAUCAAAUCAGGGGGCAGUUGUGAAUUCCUUGCGGACCCUGACCGCUGAUCACUGGUCAUUUGCAACGUUCAUUUUUGCUUGUCCACCCCCCCCCCCAGGAGAAACAGCGCCCUCUGCCGCACGGCCAUGGUAAUACCAUGGCCCGAAGACAACCGUGCCCAGCCGGUUUCUGCCCAGCGCCCACCCUCCUCCGUGGAAGUAGAGGACCCCUCUUUUGGGCCACCGUCCCCCCGUAGCCUGAAAGAUGCGAGAGGGCACGCCC